rnacentral:antisense_RNA from 1 species
CUUGAUGGUAGCCGCGCGCCGGAGGCUUUGGAAUCUGCCGGGGUCCGAUAUGCCCGGUCUUGCACAACUGCGCACGGCUGCCCCUCAU